rnacentral:lncRNA from 1 species
GUAGCUCCCUGGGCGCUUCGAAGAUCCAGCGGCUUGCUGUGAGUCCGGGAGGCAAAAUUGUACCCAUUUCAAAGAUGUGAUGACUAAAGUCUCGAGAGGGCCAAGGCUCGCCCAAGGUUGCUCUGUGGUGACAGCUUUACCUCCUUGCUAUGUAUUCUCAGAUAUUGCAAACGGACGAGAGAAAAGUGGAGGUACGUGGUGCACAUUCUGACUAUGGGUGAUCCAACUUAGGCGGGAGUCAGAAAUCCCAGCACUGCCCCUUCCUACCUGUGUGACCCUGGGCGAGUUACUGAGCCCCUCUGAGCUGUUUUCUGUCUCUAUAAGGGGGAUUACAAUAGUGUCUUCCUCCUAAGGUGUUUGGGAGGAUUAAAUAAUGGAAGCGCCUUGUCUAGCACGGGACUGUCUUGCCUCUCCUGCUGUGAGCCACCACCUACAGGCGGACUUUCCUCACCGGAGGCUGCAGGCUGUCCUCCUUCCCUGUGUCCCCAGGGCCUUCUCCACUCAGCCCCGCCUUUCCACAGCACCUCCCACUGAUACCAGCAUCCUCCUCCGCCUCCCUCUGAUUGGCCCCAUCCCAGCUCCUCCAGGAUACUCCUCUGACAUCUGUUGUUUUUCUCAGCUCAACAUCCUUUUUUUGGUUGGGGAAUCGACUUCCCAUCCCAUGUGAUUGGAGGGACUGCCCCUCACCCCAUAGGAUGGCGAGCGGCAGGCUGUGGGCUUUCGACUCUGCAGAACCAAUCACAGGCCUUCCAUGAGAUUACUGUCUAGAUGCUGAGAGGAAGGAGCAUUCUUUUGGAUCUCAAGCCUAAGGAAUGGGAUAUAAGGCAACUGGGAGCCGUCUUUACGCUGGGCGGAGAGGGCUUACCCUGUCUGUGGCUGGAGAAAAUGAGACCAACUUAUAAAGACACAUAGAGAUGGAUAAGCAGCACUAAAGGAGGGAGCAAGAGAUGGUCUGAACAACAUUGUCUGAGCCCUCUAGAUCCGGCUGUCCCUGAAGCUGAUACUGACUCUGCAUCCCCUGGUUGCAAGAGUCAAUGAAUGCCCACCUUUUUUUUUUUUUUUUUUUUGAGACAGAGCCUCACUCUGUUGCCUAGGCUGGAGUGCAGUGGCGCGAUCUGGGCUCACUGCAACCUCCACCUCCCAAGUUCAAGUGAUUCUCCUGCCUCAGCCUCCCAAGUAGCUGGGGUUACAGGCACAUGCCACCACGCCCAGCUAAUUUUUGUAUUUUUAGUAGAGACAGGGUUUCACUAUGUUGUCCAGGCUGGUCUCGAAUUCCUGACUUCAAGUGAUCUGCCUAACUCAGCCUCUCAAAGUGCUGGGAUUACAGGUGUGAGCCACCAUGCCUGGCCCCAAUUCCCACCUUUGACUAGCCUGAGUAGAUGUUUGAGUUGGGUGUCUGUCAUUUGCAGCUAAGUCUUGACUACUGCACUGGGUGCAGGAUCUGAUGUGCUCAGUGGGGACAUCCAGCACAUUAUCCACUCAGCACAUAAUUCUGAAGCUUCCGUGGGUUAGGCACUGUGCUAGUAUCAAACAUCCCAACACUAGUUCAAAUAGUAAGGCCAGAUUUUAAUUAACAAUAUACUACUGAUAGGGCGGAGAGCCCAGUGUGAACCAACUGAAACUUCUGUUUGUGCAGAGGUGACUGAUGUUUUUUGUGGUUUUGGUUUUCUGCUUUCUUGAGAUGGGGUCUCGCUAUGGCCUCAAACUCCUGACCUGAGGCAAUCUUCCCCCUCAGCCUCCAGAGUAGCUGGGACUGCAGGCGUGCUCCACCAUGUCUGGCUUAAAGGGAGAAUGAGGGAGUGGAGGGAAACGGUGAGGGCUUCAGCAGAAUAAGGGAAAUGAAAAAUUCCAAAGGGUUGGUCAUGGUAAAUGUGAUUAGGCAGCUCCGCGUGCUCGCUGGCAAUGGUGAAAGUUAGGACUCUGUUCUCCUGCAGAGACUGGGAGACAGAGGCUCUGUCCUUCCUGAUAUUACAUUUCAAUAGAAUGGCCUUCAGGUCCUUGAAAAAGACACUUCUGAGUUGUAGGAGAUACACACUCAUCUCAAAUGGACAGAGGAAGGAUCACAAUUGUAAGUUCCCAUCCCACCACACUUUUUUUUUUUUUUUUGAGACGGAGUUUCGCUCUUGUUGCCCAGGCUGGAAUGCAAUGGCGGGCUCUCGGCUCACUGCAACCUCUGCCUCCCAGGUUCAAGCGAUUCUCCUGCCUCAGCCUCCCAAGUAGCUGGGAUUACAGGCACCCGCCACCAUGCCCAGCGAAUUUUGUAUUUUUAGUAGAGAUGGGGAUUCUCCAUGUUGGUCAGGCUGGGCUCAAACUCCCGACCUCAGAUGACCCGCCCGCCUUGGCCUCCCAG